AUGGUGUCAUGGUUCUGUGUGUCUGAGUUUUGCAGGUAGGGUUGAGCAGGUUGCCAUGGGGAUGAAGGGCGGAGGCUGGAGCCACAAUUGAUCCCACCUGCAGCGCAUCAGCACCUUCGUUAGCCAGCUUACCUCCCAGCUAUUUAAGAUCAUGCAGGAGCUCCAGUCUUUGCCAGAUUGUCACACUUUACUGCGUGCCUUAGACCUUGCUACCUUGGAUCACCACAGCACCUUGGAUAAAGACUGUCCCUCAUGCCAAGUCGACUGCCUGCCUGC